AGCAGCCGCGGUAAUUCCAGCUCCAAUAGCGUAUAUUAAAGUUGUUGCAGUUAAAAAGCUCGUAGUUGAAUUUCGGGAUCAAUACGUCGGUCGUGCUUCGGUACGUACUGGCGUCAUUGAUUUCUCCCUUCUGAAGAACCAUGAUGUCAUUAACUUGGUGUCAUGGGAAAUCAGGACUGUUACUUUGAAAAAAUUAGAGUGUUUAAAGCAGGCUCACGCUUGAAUACAUUAGCAUGGAAUAAUGAAAUAGGACGUUUGAUUCUAUUUUGUUGGUUUCUAGGAUCGACGUAAUGAUUAAUAGGGAUAGUUGGGGGCAUUAGUAUUCAAUUGUCAGAGGUGAAAUUCUUGGAUUUAUUGAAGACUAACUACUGCGAAAGCAUUUGCCAAGGAUGUUUUCAUUAAUCAAGAACGAAAGUUAGGGGAUCGAAGACGAUCAGAUACCGUCGUAGUCUUAACCAUAAACUAUGCCGACUAGGGAUCGGAUGAUGUUAAUUUUUAAUGUA
rnacentral:rRNA from 1 species